CUACGGGCGGCACCAGUGGGGAAUAUUGGACAAUGGGGGAAACCCUGAUCCAGCAAUGCCGCGUGUGUGAAGAAGGCCUGCGGGUUGUAAAGCACUUUCGGUUGGGAGGACUGCUUCUAGCACUAAUAUUGUUGGAAGUUGACGUUACCUUCAGAAGAAGCACCGGCUAACUCCGUGCCAGCAGCCGCGGUAAUACGGAGGGUGCAAGCGUUAAUCGGAAUUACUGGGCGUAAAGCGCGCGUAGGCGGCUAGAUCAGUCGGGUGUGAAAGCCCCGGGCUUAACCUGGGAACUGCAUCCGAUACUGUCUAGCUUGAGUACAGGAGAGGAGAGUGGAAUUCCACAUGUAGCGGUGAAAUGCGUAGAAAUGUGGAGGAACACCAAUGGCGAAGGCAGCUCUCUGGCCUGAUACUGACGCUGAGGUGCGAAGGCGUGGGGAGCAAACAGGAUUAGAUACCCUUGUAGUC
rnacentral:rRNA from 1 species